AGUGUAGAUAGAUUUGUCAAUUUAUUGACUUGUCGAUUGUGCACUCAAAUGUGUGAGGCACUGAUCAUUAACAAUUUGAGAGUAAAAGAAUCUUAGUAGGAUGAGGAAGAGAAAGUAAAUAACGAUUGCGAAAGUAGUGGCGAGCGAAAUCGCAACAGCCCAAACCUUUUAAGUUUUUGCCUAUUAAUUUAGGCAAAUAAGUUGAUAGACGAAUACUUAUAAGGGGUUGUGAUAUUACAUAUGACCAAGUCAGAGAAUUUGAUUCAUUCAAAUGAUCUGAUUUGCGAUAACUGGCUAUCAACAGUUAGUAAGGUAAGAAAUCGGCGUGGUUAGUAGAAUAGUUUGAAUGACUAGCCAAAGAACGUGAAAGCCGUGUAUAUGAAAACGACGCUGACCUUAUGUAUGUUUUAUCGAGUAGGACGGGGCACGAGAAACCCUGUUUGAAUCUGGCUGGACCACCAGCCAAGGCUAAAUAUAAUAUACGAUCGAUAGUGAACUAGUACAGUGAUGGAAAGGUGAAAAGAACCCCGGGAGGGGAGUGAAAUAGAUCCUGAAAUUUAGUGCCUACAAGGAGUCGGAGCCGGCUUGUCCGGUGACGGCGUGCUUUUUGUAGAACGAUCCAGCGAGUUAAUUUUUACAGCGAGGUUAAGUCAAUUGACGGAGCCACAGUGAAAGCGAGCCUGAAUAGGGCGAAUAAGUUGUAAGGAUUAGACCCGAAACCGGGUGACCUAACCAUGAGCAGGUUGAAGCCACUGUAACAGGUGGUGGAGGACCGAACCAGGAUACGCAGCAAAGUGUUUGGAUGACUUGUGGUUAGCGGUGAAAUGCCAAUCGAACUCGGAGAUAGCUGGUUCUCCUCGAAAUAGCUUUAGGGCUAGCGUCGUGUUAGUAGCACAUGGGGGUAGAGCUCUGUAAAGGACUGGGGCGGGCAACUGUACCCACCCUUAACAAACUACGAAUACCAUGUGUGUAAUCACGGCAGUUAGAACAUCGGUGCUAAGAUCGGUGCUCAAAAGGGAAACAGCCCAGACCAUCAUCUAAGGUCCCUAAAUUAACGUUCAGUGGGAAACAAGGUGAGAUUUCUUAAACAGCUAGGAUGUUGGCUUAGAAGCAGCCAUUCAUUUAAAGAGUGCGUAACAGCUCACUAGUCAAGAGAUCUUGCGUGGAAAAUGUAACGGGGCUAAAACGUUAUACCGAAGAUAUGGAUGCGAUGGACAUCAGGUUAAUAUUCCUGAACCGGUUAAGUUUUGUACACUGUUCACGGGGAAGUAAUCGAAGCGGAUUCAUGGUUUAUCCGUCCAACCGAGCGGGAACGCAAAGGGAGUGAAAGUGAUUCUUCGGAGUCGCGAUUUUGGUGAAAGCCCUGGCUAGAAAAGCAGGUGUACGCGUGGACUUAGCCGCCCGUACCGCAAACCAACACAGGUGCUCGAGUCGAGUAGACUCAGGCUUACGAGCGAACCUUCGCUAAGGAACUCGGCAAUACAGCGACCGUAACUUCGGGAUAAGGUCUGCCCCCACUUCGGUGGAUAUCAGCCGCGUUCACUCAGUGAAUAUUAGGUUAAAGAGUACAUUUUUAAUCACAAAACGAAUUUUCUGAGAUAGAGCAAACGAAUUGUUCUUUUGAACGCGAACCUCUGACGUCUAACGAUGUGGGGGCCGCAGCAAAAGAGCCCACGGAACUGUUUAUCAAAAACACAGGUCUCUGCUAACACGAAAGUGGAUGUAUAGGGGCUGACUCCUGCCCAAUGCUGGAAGGUUAAGGGGAGCGCUUCACGGUGCGAACUGAAGCCCUAGUCAAUGGCGGCGGUAACUAUAACCGUCCUAAGGUAGCGAAAUUCCUUGUCAGGUAAGUUCUGACCCGCACGAAUGGAGUAAUCAUGUGGGCACUGUCUCAGCGAAGGACUCGGUGAAAGUGCAUUGGCGGUAAAGAUGCCGUCUGUCCGUACCAGGACGAAAAGACCCCAUGGAGCUUUACUACAGCUUUACAUUGAAUAUGGUUUCAACAUGUGUAGCAUAGGUGGGAGACUUUGAAGCAGAUACGCCAGUAUUUGUGGAGUCACCAAGUGAAAUACCACCCUUGUUGUGAUUGUGUUCUCACGCUGACCGUUAUCCGGUUAGCGGACCGUGUAUGGUGGGUAGUUUAACUGGGGCGGUUGCCUCCUAAAGAGUAGCGGAGGCGUUCAAAGGUUGGCUAACUUCGGAUGGAAAUCGAAGUGAUAGUGUAUGCGCAUAAGCCAGCUUGACUGUGAGGAGUACAUUCCAAUCAGAGACGAAAGUCGGAGCAAGUGAUCCGCUGUACGUACAUUUGUACAUGAAUGUGGGAUCGACAGCGCAAACGGAUAAAAGUUACCCUGGGGAUAACAGGCUUAUAGCGCCCAAUAGUUCACAUAGACGGCGCUGUUUGGCACCUCGAUGUCGGCUCAUCACAUCCUGGAGGGGGAGCACCUUCCAAGGGUUCGGCUGUUCGCCGAUUAAAGUGGUACGCGAGCUGGGUUCAG
rnacentral:rRNA from 1 species